AAGGAUCAUUAAUAGAGAUAGAGACUUCACCCGUCUCGAACCUCCAUCCCUUGUGAACAAAUGUUACCUUUGUUGCUUCGGUGCCUCAUCGCACCGAUAAUACCAUUCAAAUUCCUUUCAAAUUAUAUAUUGUCUGAAUAAUAAAAUUAAAAUUAAAUAAAACUUUCAACAACGGAUCUCUUGGUUCUGGCAUCGAUGAAGAACGCAGCGAAAUGCGAUAAGUAAUGUGAAUUGCAGAAUUCAGUGAAUCAUCGAAUCUUUGAACGCACAUUGCACCUUUUGGUAUUCCGAAAGGUAUGCCUGUCCGAGCGUCAUUUCACCUCUCAAACUUCAGUUUGGUGUUGGGCUUGUGUUGACUUGUUCAAUGGCCUCAAAAUCAAUGGCGGCGCGACAUCGAUCCCAAGCGUAGUGACACUAUUUCUGCUUUGGUGAUGGAUGUUGUGAUGGCUAAAAUUUGACGACUCUGUGUCUGACCUAUUACGAUUGACCUCGGAUCAGGUAGGGAUACCCGCUGAACUUAA
rnacentral:rRNA from 1 species